UACGUAGGGGGCAAGCGUUGUCCGGAAUCAUUGGGCGUAAAGAGCGUGUAGGCGGCUUGGUAAGUCCGCUGUGAAAGUCCAGGGCUCAACCCUGAAAAGCCGGUGGAAACUGUCAAGCUUGAGUCCGGAAGAGGCGAGUGGAAUUCCUGGUGUAGCGGUGAAAUGCGCAGAUAUCAGGAGGAACACCUGUGGCGAAAGCGGCUCACUGGACCACAACUGACGCUGAUGCACGAAAGCUAGGGGAGCAAACAGG
rnacentral:rRNA from 1 species